rnacentral:misc_RNA from 1 species
GAUGAAGAACGUAGCGAAAUGCGAUAAGUAAUGUGAAUUGCAGAAUUCAGUGAAUCAUCGAAUCUUUGAACGCACAUUGCGCCCGCCAGUAUUCUGGCGGGCAUGCCUGUCCGAGCGUCAUUUCAACCCUCGAACCCCUCCGGGGGGUCGGCGUUGGGGAUCGGCCCUUUCACCGGGUGCCGGCCCCUAAAUACAGUGGCGGUCUCACCGCAGCCUCUCAUGCGCAGUAGUUUGCACACUCGCACCGGGAGCGCGGCGCGUCCUCGUCCGUAAAACACCCCACACUUCUGAAAUGUUGACCUCGGAUCAGGUAGGAAUACCCGCUGAACUUAAGCAUAUCAAUAAGCGGAGGA